rnacentral:tRNA from 1 species
GGAGAGGUGGCCGAGUGGUCGAAGGCGCUUGCCUGCUAAGCAAGUGUUGGGAUUUACCCAACCGAGGGUUCGAAUCCCUCCCUCUCCG